GUAGGGAAUAUUGGACAAUGGGGGCAACCCUGAUCCAGCGACGCCGCGUGAGUGAUGAAGGCCUUCGGGUCGUAAAGCUCUGUUGCAGGGGAAGAACACAAUGACGGUACCCUGCUAGAAAGGAUCGGCUAACUUCGUGCCAGCAGCCGCGGUAAGACGAGGGAUCCUAGCGUUGUUCGGAAUUAUUGGGCGUAAAGCGGGUGCAGGUGGCUUGGUAAGUCAGAUGUGAAAGCCUGGGGCUUAACCCCAGAAGUGCAUUUGAUACUGCGGAGCUUGAGUGCUGGAGAGGCUAUUAGAAUUCCUGGUGUAGUGGUGAAAUACGUAGAUAUCAGGAGGAAUACCGGAGGCGAAGGCGGAUAGCUGGCCAGACACUGACACUCAGACCCGAAAGCGUGGGGAGCAAACAGGAUUAGAUACCCGGGUAGUCC
rnacentral:rRNA from 1 species